rnacentral:rRNA from 1 species
GACGAACCGCGCGAGCGUUGUUCGGAAUCACUGGGCCUAAAGGGCGCGUAGGCGGGGUCAUAAGUCUGUGGUGAAAUCCUCCGGCUCAACCGGAGAACUGCCUCGGAUACUGUGGCUCUCGAGGGUGGUAGGGGUAUGCGGAACUAUCGGUGGAGCGGUGAAAUGCGUUGAUAUCGAUAGGAACUCCGGUGGCGAAGGCGGCAUACUGGACCACUUCUGACGCUGAGGCGCGAAAGCCAGGGGAGCAAACGGG